GGCUUUCUAGUAUAUCGGUAGUAUGCAUGCUUAGGGUGCAUGUGAGCCGGGUUCAAUUCCCGGGAGAGCCC
rnacentral:tRNA from 1 species